UGCGGCUGGAUCCCCUCCUUUCUAAGGAGCCAUCCCUGUCGUAAGACAGAGGCAUCCUAUGGUCAAUCGUUCACCUCGCUUCGGCAAGGCGAACGUAUCGUCCGCAAACCAUCAAGUCUGCUAUUUAGUUUUGAGAGACCCGGGCCUCUCGGUUGCGAGAGGUCCUGUUCUUUGACAGAUCGAAAAGCGCGAGCUUGUGGGCUAGUAGCCCAGGUGGCUAGAGCACACGACUGAUAAUCGUGAGGUCGAAGGUUCAAGUCCUUCCUGGCCCACCAGAUUUCUCGGGGGUGUAGCUCAGCUGGGAGAGCGCCUGCCUUGCAAGCAGGAGGCCAUCGGUUCGAUCCCGUUCACCUCCACCAGUUAUUGGUGAGGGCGGGGCGCCGACCCCACCUCGUACGCUCGUUUUUCGCUCUUUGACAAUUGCAUAGGACAAUGAUGAUGCACAGCAGGCAUGCGCAAUGCCUGCACAGGCAAAUUUACUGUAGAUCGCAACGAAGUAGUUAACGACUUUUUUAUGGUCAAGCUACUAAGGGCGCACGGUGGAUGCCUUGGCAUCGGGAGGCGAUGAAGGACGUGGUAAGCUGCGAUAAGCUUCGGCGAGCCGCUAAACAGGCUUUGACCCGGAGAUUUCCGAAUGGGGAAACCCGG
rnacentral:misc_RNA from 1 species